rnacentral:lncRNA from 1 species
CUCACCGGAUCGAACUUGUCGCGUUUGACGUCAGGUACCUGGACGUAGGUGACGCACCCAAAAACUCGAAGGUGACUGACGUUAGGACGGACGUUGAAGAAAGCUUCAUACGGCGUGACAGUUGACCCAGCAGUUGGCGACACAUUCCUUAGGUAAUUAAUUGGCUGUCGCCAACGCUUCCGCCCAUAGUGACUUAGGUAGACCGGACUCGACAACCAUAGCUCGACAAGCAUAGCUCUGGUUUUGUCUAGGAAAGUGCGAUUCAAACGUUCCGCUGCUCCGUUCUGCUCAGGGGUGUAGCCUACCGUAGUUCCAUGAACAAUACCCCUGUACGCGAAAUAGCCCUUCGUGCGAGUAUUAAUGAACUCCCCGCCACGAUCCGUACGAACCUCCUUAAUAUUGGAGAAAUGGCGACGGUGACGGCUAACGCUGAUUGUUGAUGUUGUUACAGGGUGGUUAAGCUUCACCAGCGGCCUCCUUCCCGAGGCAGUUCCCUGCUCUCCCCUGCUAGAGGGGCACCCUAAGCCAUUCACCCCAUCCGACUUCAGAGUGUAUUCGUUGGGUUCGGCAACUCACCACCAGCAUCCAACCAAAUCUAGCGGAUCAACGGCGCGUCAACUUAGUUCCUGGUCAGCUCGCGAGUUGAUUUUAUCACGUCCUACACCUUCCACAAGAUGGGGGGCCACCUCCCAUUUCAUCACCUCUCAAACACCCCGAGAGGUCGGCAGGCGGAUUUGAACCCGGACGCGCCGGGACGCGACGGGAGCAGAAGUCAGGCCUUAACCUCUGCCAGCCGCCUGCCUAUGAUUGUUAUCUCGGAAGAAUUGCCGGCGGCGAAGAUAUUUAGCACGAUAAAAUGUUACAAGUUAUGUAAAGGGUAUUAUAAGCGUUCGGCAGGACUUGAGGAGAUUCCUUUGAGGAAUACCGAUCGUUGUGAGAUAAACAAAUAAGUGCAGUCACCGCCCUAAAUACCGGCGCUAGCGGAAAACUCGUACAUUCCGUGAUCUAACUGCACGUACAUUCCGCGAUCUCACUGCGCCAUCCUGACGGUGCCCAAUGUCUAUCACUUAGCUACCGGAUAUGCAUCGGUAGCCCUAUAAGGUUCUGGGGUAAGUCUUCCCCAUUAGUCAGGCGCAGACCCGGGGUCAAAUCCCCUGGUCAACAACCACACGAGUUGGGAGAGGACCGUUUCCUCAACACGCCCCCUCGGGCCUCAACACGCCCCCUCGGGCCGUAUCCCAACGAGUACCAAGUUCAUCUGCACACUUCACACAAGGCCCAUCACAUCUCGGCAACGUUUGAACUUCACCUCGCCGAGAGCUUUCGUGAGCACAUCCGCAACCAUCCACUCCGUAGGGCAGUAUUCCAACUGCACCUCACCACUAUUCACCCUCUCACGCACUAUGUGAUGCUGCACGUCGAUGUGCUUCGACCGAGCAGACGUAAUCGGGUUAUUUUCCAAGCUAAGCGCCCCCUGGGAAUCUAUUUGGAUUCUGAUAGCGCUCUCAGGCAAACCCAAAUCAACCAUCAGCUUACGAAGCCACAAAGCCUCGAGAACAGCUGCUGCUGUCGCUUGAUACUCGGCCUCCACCGACGAAGCCGCCACAGUACGUUGAAGUUGGCUGCUCCAGCUAAUCGCAGCCCCAUUAAGAGUGAAAACGUAGCCGGAUGUAGAACGCCGCGUAACUGGGUCUCCUGCCCAGUCCGAAUCACUGUACCCGGACAUAGCAACAUCGCCAACACCCCCAAAACGCAAUCCUAGUUCGCGAGUCCCCGCCAGGUAACGCAGAACGCCGAUUGCUAAGUUCAUGGCAGUCUUCGUGGGUGCGGCCAUAUGCCGGGACAAAACGCUCAAUGCAUAUGAAAUGUCAGGCCGCGUGUUCGUCGCCAGAUAGUUCAAUUCUCCCACCAAAGCCCUAUACUCUGUGGGAUUGCCCAGCAGCUCCUCUCCGUCCCCCUUAGGAGUGUACCUAAAGCCCGGAGGCAAAGGGGUAGACCUCGGCUUGGCGUCAAUCAUCCUAUGACGCUCCAACAGCUGCGCAAUAUACCUAUGCUGCGACAACACUAUCUCACCCGACUUCUCCCUCCUAAUUUCCAUGCCCCAAAACACCUUCGCUUCUCCAAGGUCGCGCACCUUGAAGACCUUUGCAAUUGCAGCUUUAAUUGCCCGGACCAUUUCUGGGUCUUCCGACGCAACAAUGGUGUCAUCUACAUGCACCAAAGCAAUAACAACCCCACGCUCGUCCGUCUUAACGAACAUCGCCGGAUCAGACUUCGAAGGAUAAAGACCCAGCUUAGCGAACUCUGCUGAUAGCUUUUCAUACCAGCAACGGGGUGCCUGCUUCAAACCGUAAAUAGACUUCUGCAGCUUGCACGCAAGCGACCGGUCACUGGAUGCAUACCCAGGCGGUUGCUCCAUCCACAACUCCUCCUUCAGCUCACCAUUCAGAAACGCAGUAGACACAUCGAGCUGAUGUACCGUCAUGUUCCGGGCUGCGGCAACUGCUAAUAAAGCACGCAAUGACGAACCACGAGAGGUAGGGGCAAACAACUCCCCAUAAUCAAUCCCCUCGCGUUGCUCGAAACCCUUGGCAACUAAACGCGCCUUAAAACGCUCCACGCUGCCGUCAUCGCUGUACUUAACCUUAUACACCCAACGACACGGCAACAAACGAGUACCAGGAGGUGGCUUCUUCAGCUCCCAAGUACUGUUAGCCAUCUGGGCGGCGAUCUCCUCGUCCAUCGCACGCCGCCAGUCGUCUGCAUUUGGACUUGCAAUGGCUUCUGCAAACGAAUUAGGUUCAGGAAUACCAGCAGAGAAAGCAGCGUUAACACGACCAGUGACAGUGCGACCAGGUUCGUUUCGCUACCAUUCGUCAGGGCGUUUACACUCUCUAACUGGGUACCUAGUUCCCGCCAUUUCCACAUUAGGCUGAUUGAUUCCUUGCCCGUUCGCACUGCUGGAAGGUCCAGCCCCAGCCGGCUCCCCCUCGCCACCCAAAUAAGGCGAUCCUUCGCCGACUUCUACCUGGUGUCCCUUUGCCAGCCCUAGGCAGCGAUCCCUCACCAGAUAAACUAGUGCGAAACUCCUCCUCCUCGUCGGCAUCGGACUCAUAAUCGGAGUCCCCGGCAUUACACCGCCGGCCGACAUUAGAUUCAUCGAAACGAACGUUAGAAACUACGGCAAUAAUGCCGUCCUCGUAUAGUACACGAUACUGUCCACCGUUCCCGUAUCCGACAAGUAUUCCACGCCUGCUCACCGGGUCGAACUUGUCGCGCUUGACGUCGGGUACGUGGAUGUAGGCAACGCAUCCAAAGACUCGCAGGUGACUGACGUUCGGACGAACAUUAAAGAAAGCUUCGUACGGAGUGACGGUUGACCCAGCAGUUGGCGACACAUUCCUAAGAUAGUUGGCUGUCGCUAACGCCUCCGCCCAUAAUGAUUUAGGCAGUCCAGACUCAACGAGCAUAGCCCUAGUCUUGUCCAAAAGAGUGCGUUUUAACGUUCCGCAGCUCCGUUCUGCUCAGGGGUGUAGCCUACCGUAGUCCCGUGUACAAUACCCCUGGAAGCGAAAUAGCCCUUCGUGCGAGUAUCAACGAACUCCCCGCCACGAUCUGUACGCACCUCCUUAACCUGCCUGCCAGUAGCGCGCUCCAGUUCCGCUAUCAUUACCACCAUCUUCUGGUAGACCUCCUCCUUGGUCGCUGUAAACGCAACAGCUGAAAGACCAGUAUGAUCGUCAAGAAGGGUGGUCACAUAACGCGAACCAUUUGGUGAAGGUUCAGGCAUAGGUCCACACACAUCCAUGUGAAUGAGUGCGAGAGGCUGCGCUGCCUUAUGCCCAGUUAGCGGAAAAGGACCACGUGUAUGCUUAGCAAAGACGCAAGUCUCACACACACACGCGCUGGCUAAUUGUAUGCUGUGUCGGUCAACAUCGAAUCCAGCUACCAUAUCAUGACGCAGCAGCGCCUCAAGGUUGCUGUAUCCCAAGUGGCCAUACCUUCGGUGCCAAAGUGCUGCACGUUCAGCUCCGAUACCAACGGCAUCACACACUGCAUCACCACCAGAAGGUAUCCUGUUGUCUUCACGCUGCGUCCACUUCAGAGCGCCAGUACCUCCACUGCUGUAGUAGACGGGAUACAAGUCCCCAUCCCGCUUUCCAGUCAGCACCAACUGAUUCUGUACGUACACUUUCACCUGUCCGCCGCCGAAGACCACACUGCCUCCACGAUCAUCAAUGAUGCGGACCGAUAUGAUUUUAGCAGUGGCCUCCUCGUUGACGUAGACCUUCUUGAAAGUGAUGGCCUGUUUAUCGUUGACGUUAGACCGAAUCGUAAGCGUGCCAACUUCAGUCGGCUGAAGAGACUGUCCCUUGAUGCCCAUGAUGUUGAAGCGCUCCCAUGGCUCCAAUAACCGCACGUUGGAAAGUUCUGAGCGGUCAUACGUUAUGUGGUGAGUGGCUGCUGAGUCCAGAAACCAUUCCGUCGGACGCUCGCUGUUAUAUGCCACGAACGCUACCUGCCGCGGAACUCCUGGUCCCCUAGCUGAUCCACCGGAUCCUGGCUUGCUGCCGCUAUCUCCGCUGCCACUAGCUCCGCUGCCACUAGCUCCGCUGCCACUGUUGUUGUAGCGACCCUUAUAUCCAGAAUUUGACGACUGCUUCAGCGCUUUAAGCUGCCUGCAGUCCUUUACCACGUGCCCAGGCUUAUUACAGUAGUAGCAGAUGAGUUGCUUCCGACUGUGUCCCGAGCUGUUGUUAGCCGGCCCCCGGCUACCAUAACAUAACCAGAAGUAGAAGCGCCGAACGUAGAUCCGCCGACAGACGCGAAGGCUGCCGACUCGGUAGGCUUGCCCGACCCACCGUUAGCAGUCUCGACAGAGAGAAGCUUUGCUGUGACGUUCGCCAUGUCCAAAUCGCCGUCGCGCAUAAGUAAUGUAGUCGUCACCACGCUUUACCGACUGGGUAGACCAACCAGGACGGUGUACACCAGCUCGGAGUCGUUAAUUACGUGGCCGACUCCCAAUAAAUCUGUUUGCAGCUGCCUUGCACGCGCAAAGUACAUCGGAAGAGGUUCAACGUCGACCAUCUUAAAACGGCUGAAUUCUUGACGUAGAGACACCUUGCGGGCGUUGUUGUUGGCAGCAAACAUAGAGCCCAAGGCGUCCCAGGCCUUCUUCGCGUUGGCAGCACCGGUAACCAUCGGCAAGUGGUGAUCCUUGACGUUCUUGAUGAGCAGAUUGAUGACCUUCCGUGAUUGUCGAAUCUGCUCCUCGUUGCACGGCUCGGCGAGCAAGGAUUGCUCAAGCCCAAGCUCCAUGCACAUCGCGCUAAACCUGAUAUGCCAGGUGGAGUAGUUGUGGAGGUCCAGCGGCUCAUCAAGCUUGUCCUUGACCAUCAACAAUGGUGUUGAUAAGGGAUAGAAAUAACAAUCGUAGGCGGCUGGCUGAGGUUAAACACCCGAGAGGUCGGCAGGCGGAUUUGAACCCGGGUCGACCGGGAGCAGAAGCCAGGCCUUAACCUCUGCCAGCCGCCUGCCUGCCUGGUUGUUAUCUCGGAAGAAUUGCCGGCGGCGAAGAUAUUUAGCACGAUAAAAUGUUACAAGUUAUGUAAAGGGUAUUAUAAGCGUUCGGCAGGACUUGAGGAGAUUCCUUUGAGGAAUACCGAUCGUUGUGAGAUAAACAAAUAAGUGCAGUCACCGCCCUAAAUACCGGCGCUAGCGGAAAACUCGUACAUUCCGCGAUCUAACUGCACGUACAUUCCGCGAUCUCACUGCGCCAUCCUGACGGUGCCCAAUGUCUAUCACUUAGCUACCGGAUAAGCAUCGGUAGCCCAUAAGGUUCUGGGGUAAGUCUUCCCCAUUAGUCAGGCGCAGACCCGGGGUCAAAUCCCCUGGUCGACAACCACACGAGUUGGAAGAGGACCGUUUCCUCAACACUUAACCUGCCUGCCAGAAGCGCGCUCCAGUUCCGCUAUCAUUACCACCAUCUUCAGAUAGACCUCCUCCUUGGUCGCUGUAAACACAACUGCUGAAAGACCGGUAUGGCCGUCAAGCAGAGUUGUCACGUAACGCGAACCACUAGGCGAAGGUUCAGGCAUAGGUCCACACACAUCCAUGUGAACUAAUGCUAGUGGCUGUGCUGCCUUGUGCCCUGUCAGCGGAAAAGGAACUCGUGUCUGUUUUGCAAAAACGCAGGUCUCACAAACACACGUACUCGCUUUCUGAAAGCUGUGCUGGUCGACGUCAAAUCCCAUUACCAUAUUGUGGCACAGCAACGCCUCGAGGUUGCUGUAGCCCAAAUGUUCGUAACACCGACGGUUUAGUGCGAUGUGCAUGGAGCUUCGGCUUGAGCAUUCUUUGCUCGCCGAGCCGUGCAACGAGGAGCAGAUUCAUCAAUCACGGAAGGUCAUCAAUCUGCUUAUCAAGAACGUCAAGGUCACCGGUGCAGCCAACGCGAAGAAGGCUUGGGAUGCCUUGAACUUGAUGUUCGCUGCCAACAACAGUGAAGCUUAACCACCCUGUAACAACAUCAACAACGCCUGCAAGGUGGCUCUACACCAAGAAUUCAGCCGCUUCAAGAUGGUUGACUGUGAGCCACUUCCGAAGUAUUUCCGCGUGCGGGGCAGCUGCAAACGGACUUGUUGGGUGUUGGCCACGUAAUCAACAACUCCGAGCUGGCGUAUACCGUCUUAGUUGGUCUACCCAAUCGGUACAGCAUGGUGACGACAACACUACUGAUGCGUGAUGGCGAUUUGGACAUGGCGAGCGUCACAGCAAAGCUUCUCACUAUCGAGACGGCUAACGGUGGGUCGGACAAGCCUACCGAGUCGGAAGCCUUCACGUCUCUCGGCGGUUCGAUGUUCGGCGCUUCUAAUUCUGGUUAUGGCAGCCGGGGGCCGGCUAGCAGCAGCUCGGGACACAGUAGGAAACAACUCAUCUGCUACUACUGUAAUAAGCCUGGGCACGUGGUAAAGGACUGCUGGCAGCUUAAAGCACUCAAGCAGUCAUCAAUUUCUGGAAAUAAGGGUGGCUACAACAACAGUGGCAGCGGAGCUCGGGGCAGCAAUCCAGGAUCCGGUGGAUCAGCUAGGGGGCCAGGAGUUCCGCGGCAGGUAGCGUUCGUGGCAUACAACAGCAGGCGGCUGGCAGAAGUUAAGGCCUGGCUUCUGCUCCCGUCGCGUCCCGUCGCGUCCGGGUUCAAAUCCGCCUGCCGACCUCUCGGGGUGUUUGAGAGGUGAUGAAAUGGGAGGUGGCCCCCCAUCUUGUGGACGGUGUAGGACGUGAUAAAAUCAACUCGCGAGCUGACCAGGAACUAAGUUGACGCGCCGUUGAUCCGCUAGAUUUGGUUGGAUGCUGGUGGUGAGUUGCCAAACUCAAAGAGUUCACUCUGAAGUCGGAUGGGGUGAAUGGCUUAGGGUGCCCCUCUAGCAGGGGAGAGCAGGGAAUUGCCUCGGGAAGGAGGCCACUGGUGAAGCUUAACCACCCUGUAACAACAUCAACAGCGAGCGUCCGACGGAAUGGUUUCUGGACUCAGCAUCUACUCACCACGUCACUUACGACCGAUCCGAACUACACAAUGCACGUGUGUUGGGGCCUUGGGAACGCUUCAGCAUUGUGGGCAUUAAGGGUCAAUCACUGCGUCCGACGGAGGUUGGAUCGCUUACCAUUCGAUCUAAUGUCAACGACAAUCAAGCCAUCACAUUCAAAAGGGUCUACGUUGACGAGGAGGCGAUGGUAAAGAUUUUGUCCGUCCGUAUCAUCGACGAUCGCGGAGGUAGCGUCGUCUUCAGUGACGGUCAAGUACAGGUAUACUUGCAAAAUCAUUUAGUGUUGACCGGUGAACGGGACGGUGAUCUCUACCCCAUUUGCUAUCGAGGUGGAAGUACAGGCACCAUCAGGAGGACGCAGAAUACGAGCUACUGUGACAACGGACAUGGUACAACAUGCACCGCUGUGAAUUCCAAGACGGAGCGUGCAACACUUUGGCAUCGGUGUUACGGACAUCUUGGCUACAGCAACCUCGAGGUGUUGCUGCGCACAAUAUGGUAAUGGGAUUUGACGUCGACCAGCACAGUUUCCAGAAAGCCAGCAUGGGUGUUUGUGAGACCUGCGUUUAUGCAAAACAGACACGAGGUCCUUUUCCGUUAACAGGACACAAGGCAGCUCAGCCACUAGCACUAGUUCACAUGUAUGUGUGUGGACCUACUUUCGCCUAGUGGUUCGCGUUAUGUGACAACUCUGCUUGACGACCAUACCGGUCUUUCAGCUGUUGCAUUUACAGCGACCAAGGAGGAGGUCUAUCAGAAGAUGGUGGUAAUGAUAGCGGAACUGGAGCAUGCUUCUGGCAGGCAGGUUAAGGAGGUGCGUACGGAUCGUGGCGGGGAGUUCAUUAAUACUCGCACGUGUUAAGAAUAUGAAGGCAAGGAGACUGGUCGCGAUAUAGGAGUUACAGUCUGUUAUAGCCAUCGGAGUGGUGGCAUGGUGUUGCAGGAAGGAGGAUAGUAGGUCGCAUUAACAUGGCUGUCACUUAUCCGUACCCUGCUGAACUUUUGCUGAGUAAUACUUUCACUGAAGCCGUUUCAGGUGCAAAUGCAAAUGAGUGGCGCAGAGUGAUGGUCGAGGAGAUUGCUGCAUUAGCAGCUAACGGCACUUGUGAGCUGUGUGCACAGCCUCUUGAUGUGCUAAUGUACCGGUGGUUGUACAAGUUGAAAAGAGUGGAAGGUGACACGGUCAAGCGCUUUUUUGCAUGGCUAGUUGCAAAAAUGUACGAGAAGUACGACACCUUGGAGAAGUGUGUUAAGAAUAUGAAGGCAAGGAGACUGGUCGCGAUAUAGGAGUGUCUGUGGGUUAGUGGUGAACGGCAAGAAGACUUUAGGAGAUUCUUAUGAAGGAAUACCGAUCCAUCCGAAGAUGAGAUAAAAAGGCUUGCUUAACUCUUGCCUUAUGUACCGAUACCAACAGAAGUAUCGUACAGUCGUCCACCAUCCCUGGACCUGAGGUCACGUCCGAGAUACGCGGCCGAGGGACCCGAGGCAAGGUCGAGGCACGGCCGAAGCAAGGUCGAGGCACGGCCGAGGCAACACCUAUCACGGCGGAUUCAUCACCUAACUAUCAUAUAACUAACAUUGGGAUAGGACCACCCUUCAACACGCCCCCUCGGGGCACAUAAUCGCAGUAGCACAUUUGCUCCACCAAUGGGCACUUCACACAACGCCCAUAGCUUCUCUGCACCGUUUGAACCUCACUUCUCCCAGUGCCUUCGUGAGCGCAUCCGCUACCAUCCACUCUGUAGGGCAGUACUCCAACUGCACCGCCCCGCUAUUCACCCUCUCACGCACUAUGUGGUGCUGCAUGUCGAUGUGUUUCGACCGAGCAGACGUAAUCGGAUUAUUUCCCAAGCUAAGCCCCCUGGGAGUCUAUCUGGAUUUUGACCGCGCUCUCAGGCAAGCCCAAAUCGACCAUCAGCUUGCGAAGCCACAAAGCUUCACGAACAGUCACCGCUGUAACUUGGUACUCGGCCUCUACCAACAAAGCAGCCACAGUACUUUGAAGUUGGCUGCUUCAGCUAAUCCCAGCCCCAUUAAGAGUGAAUACGUAACCGGAUGUAGAACGCCGCGUAACUGGGUCUCCUGCCCAGUCCGAAUCACUGUACCCGGACAUUGCAACACCACAAACACCCCCAAAACGCAAUCCUAGUUCGCGAGUACCCGCCAGGUAAGGCAGAACGCCGGUUGCCAAGUUCAUGGCAGUCUUCGUAGGUGUGGCCAUAUGCCGGGACAAGACCCUCCAUGCAUAAGGAAUGUCAGGCCGUGUGUUCGUCACUAGGUAGUUCAACUCUCCCACCAAAGCCCUAUACUGUGGGAUUACCCAGCACCUCAUCUGUAUCCCCCGUAGGUGUGCACAUAAAACCCGGAGGCAAAGGGUAGACCGUGGCUUGGUGUCCACCAUCUGGUGACGUUCCAAUAGCUGCUAAAUAUUGCGACAACAACAAUUCGCCCGGCUCUUCCUCUAAUUCCAUGCCCGAAUAUACCUGCACUUUGUUAAGAAUAUGAAGGAGGCAAGGAGACUGGUCGCGAAAGGUUACAGUCUGUGGGUUAGUGGUGAACGGCAAGAAUACCAAGCUACAGCGGCGGCUGUUUGUGAAGUUUUGUGGCUUCACAUGCUGAUAGUCGAUUUGGGUUUUGCUGUUGUGGAAACGGUACCUCUCCCUACUCGAGGAAUGUCAGACAGGGGAUAUGACCCCGGGUCUGUCUGAGACAAGCGGCGAAACUUAACCCGUCACUUAUGGGACUACUAAUGCACAACCGUUAGUUAGUGGUGUACGUUUGGGCACCGUCAGGAUGGCUCCGCUAGAUCGCGGAAUGAUAGGUGGGCGAAUCCACCUGACUGAUUGGCGCCUAUCAGCGACAGUCGUGCACCGCGACCGGGUCCGGCGGGCCUGUCCCAACGUUAGUGCAGGAUGGUAGGCGGGCAUAUCCAAGAUUGAUUGAUAGGCGAUGACUCCGGCCGCGUAUCUCGGACGUCCCCUCGUGCCCAGCGUUGAUGGUGGGCGACUGUACGGUACUUCCGUUGGUAUCGGUACAUAAGACCCAGAGUGCUGCAAUCUUUCUAUCUCAUCUUCGGAUGGAUCGGUAUUCCUUAACAGGAAUCUCCUAAAGUCUUCUUGCCGUUCACCACUAACCCACAGACACUCCCAUAUCGCGACCAGUCUCCUUGCCUUCAUAUUCUUAACACACUUCUCCAAGGUGUCGUACGUCUCGUACAUUUUUGCAACUAGCCAUGCAAAAAAGCGCUUGACCGUGUCACCUUCCACUCUUUUCAACUUGUACAACCACCGGUACAUUAGCACAUCAAGAGGCUGUGCACACAGCUCACAAGUGCCGUUAGCUGCUAAUGCAGCAAUCUCCUCGACCAUCACUCUGCGCCACUCAUUUGCAUUUGCACCUGAAACGGCUUCAGUGAAAGUAUUACUCAGCAAAAGUUCAGCAGGGUACGGAUAAGUGACAGCCAUGUUAAUGCGACCUACUAUCCUCCUUCCUGCAACACCAUGCCACCACUCCGAUGGCUUGCACCACUAGAUGUUCCGGCUUCAUCCGGCAUUCCUUCACCUUCCACAGGUGGUGCCUAGCCGACUGUGUUUCUUAAGUCUACCAGAGCUUGGCAGAGGCCCUGACUCAGGUACACCAAUACUAGCCGCUUCGGAGUCAGACAAUUCCCCUGAACCUUGAUAGUUGUUCUUAUCUUGCAGCAAAAAAUACACGGCAUCACUGCACUGCUGCCACCGCCUGUCUGUUGAGGCAUGCUACCCCACCUGCCACAUGCGGGCGCCAACACCACCUCCACUCAUUCUCUGCACGUAAGGUUGCGGCUCUCUGCAACUCCGAGAUACACGGCCCGUCUGUUUAUAGUUGUAGCAAACGAUCGCCUGUUGCAUUCCACGCUGUCGACUGGAUACAAACUUUUCACGGCACUCACGUCCGCCAGUCGUCUGCAUGUGGGCCUGAGAUGGCUUCGGCAUAAACGUUAGGUUCUGAAUCGCAGCAGAUACUGCAGCAAUGACUCGGCCUGUAGCACUACGACCUGGUACACUCCUUAACCACUCGCCAGGACGUUUGCAUUCCCUAACUGAAUACCGAGCCCCCAGCAUUUCCACAUCAGGGUGUGUAUUUCCUUGCACAUUCACACUUCUGGGAGGUCCAGCCCCAGCCAGCGCCCCCUCGCCACCCAAAUGCGACGAUCCCGCGCUGACGGUAUUGCCUGAUGUCCAUUCGCCAGCCCUAGGCAGCGACCCCUCACCAGCUAGCGUGCAACCCUCGUCGGCAUCGGACCCAUCAUUGGAAUCCCUGGCAUUAUGCCGCUGACCGUCACUAGGCUCAUCAAAGAGGACAUUGGAGACCACGGAGAUGAUGCUGUCCUCAUACAUAACACGAUACUGUCCUCCAUACCCAUAUUCGGCCAGGAUUCCUCAGAUGCUUACUGUUGUAAGCUACAAAAGCAACCUGCUUCGGGAAACCGGAUCCCUUGCUAGACCCACCGAGCCCAGGCUUGCUGAAAUAGAAGCAAAUCACCUCUUGGAGAAGAACGCCAGAACUGCUGCUGGCCGCGCCGUGAUUCCUAAGACCAGAACCAGAGGCGCCAAACGUGAGACCGCCGACAGAAGCAAAAGCUGCCGACUCGGUAGGCGUACCAGACCCACCGCUUGCCAUCUCGAGAGUCAAGAACUUCGAGGUGACGAUAUAUAGCCAUGUCCGAAUCGCCGUCACGCACCAGUAGGGAUGUCGUUACCAUGCUGAAGCGGCUGGGCAAACCAACAAGCAAAGUGUGUGCCCGCUCAGAAUCGCUGAUAACGUGUCCUACUCCCAAACAAGUCCGACUGUAAUUGCUUGCAGGCGUCCUAUGCCUUCUUCGCGUUAGCUAUGUAAGCUACUAGCGUGAGCCGGGGCUCAUAACCUGUUAAGAUUAUGAAGGCAAGGAGACUGGUCGCGAUAUAGGAGUUACAGUCUGUGGGUUAGUGGUGAACGGCAAGAAGACUUUAGGAGAUUCCUAUGAAGGAAUACCGAUCCAUCCGAAGUUGAGAUAGAAAGGCUUGCUUAACUCUUGCCUUAUGUACCGAUACCAACGGAAGUAUCGUACAGUCGUCCACCAUCCCUGGACCUGAGGACACGUCCGAGAUACGCGGCCGAGGGACCCGAGGCAAGGUCGAGGCACGGCCGAAGCAACGCCUAUCACGGCGGAUUCAUCACCUAACUACCACCUACCUACGUUGGGAUAGGACCGCCCUUCAACAGCACGAAGGGCUAUUUCGCGUCCAGGGGUAUUGUACACGGAACUACGGUAGGCUAUACCCCUGAGCAGAACGGAGCAGCGGAACGUUUGAAUUGCACUCUCCUAGACAAAACCAGGGCUAUGCUUGUCGAGUCCGGUCUACCUAAGUCAUUAUGGGCGGAAAUGUUGGCGACAGCCAAUUACCUCAGGAAUGUGUCGCCAACUACUGGGUCAACUGUCACGCCGUAUGAAGCUUUCUUCAACGUCCGUCCUAACGUCAGUCAUCUUCGAGUUUUUGGGUGCGUCGCCUACGUCCACGUACCUGACGUCAAACGCAACAAGUUCGAUCCGGUGAGCAGGUGGGGAAUACUUGUUGGAUACGGGAACGGAGGACAGUACCGUGUGCUGUACGAGGUCGGCAUUAUUGCCGUAGUUUCUAACGUUCGCUUUGACGAGUCUAACGUCGGCCGGCGUUGUUAUGCCGGGGAUUCUGAUUAUGAAUCCGAUGCCGACGAGGAGGAGGAUUUUCGCACUAGCUUGCCUGGUAAGGUGUCGCUGCCUAGGGCUGGCGAAGGAAUACCAGGUAGCACCGUCGGCGAGGGAUCGCCGCAUUUGGGUGGCGAAGGGGCGCCGGCUGGGGCUGGACCAUCCAGCAGUGCGAACGUGCAAGGUAACAAUCAGCCUGAUGUGGAAAUGGCAGGGACACGAUAUCCAGUUAGAGAACGUUAACGCCCUGGCGAAUGGUGGCGAAACGAACCUGGUCGCACUGUCACUGGUCGCGUUAACGCUGCUUUCUCUGCUGGUAUUCCUGAACCUAAUUCGUUUGCGGAAGCCAUUGCAAGUCCACAUGCAGAAGACUGGCGGCGUGCGAUGUAUGAGGAGAUUGGUGAGGAAACGGUCCUCUCCCAACUCGUGUGGUUGUCGACCAGGGGAUUUGACCCCGGGUCUGCACCUGACUAAUGGGGAAGACUUACCCCAGAACCUUAUGGGGCUACCGAUGCAUAUCCGGUAGCUAAGUGAUAGACAUUAGGGCACCGUCUGGACGGCGCAGUGAGAUCGCGGAAUGUACGUUCAGUUAGAUCGCGGAAUGUACGAGUUUUCCGCUAGCGCCGGUAUUUAGGGCGCCUACUAGUUUAUCUCACAACGAUCGGUAUUCCUACCAGGAAUCUCCUCAAGUCCUGCCGAACGCUAAUAAUACUCUUUACAUUACUUGUAACAGUUUAUCGUGCUAAAUAUCUUCGCCACCGGCAAUCCUUCCGGAAUAACAAUCAGCGUUAGCCGUCACCGUCGCCAAUUCUCCAAUAGGUUAUGAGCCCCGCUUAGCGCCGACAGCUAUCGCUCAAUUGUUAUUUCUAUCCCUCAUCGACAAUGGUUAAGGACAAGCUUGAUGAGUCGCUGGACCUCAACAACUACUCUACCUGGCAAAUUCGGUUUAGCGCGAUGUGCAUGGAGCUUGGGCUUGAGCAAUCCCUGCUCGCUGAGCCGUGCAACGAGGAGCAAAUUCGACAGUCACGGAAGGUCAUCAAUCUGCUCAUCAAGAACGUCAAGGAUCAUCAUUUGCCGAUGGUUACCGGUGCUGCCAACGCGAAGAAGGCCUGGGACGCCUUGGGAUCUAUGUUUGCAGCCAACAACAACGCCCGCAAGGUGUCUCUACGUCAAGAAUUCAGCCGUUUUAAGAUGGUCGACGGCGAACCUCUUCCGAUGUACUUUGCGCGUGCAAGGCAGCUGCAAACAGAUUUAUUGGGAGUCGGCCACGUAGUUAACGACUCCGAGCUGGCGUACACCGUGCUAGUUGGUCUACCCAGUCGGUACAGCGUGGUGACGACUACAUUACUUAUGCGCGACGGCGAUUUGGACAUGGCGAGCGUCACAGCAAAGCUUCUCUCUAUCGAGACGGCUAACGGUGGGUCGGGCAAGCCUACCGAGUCGGCAGCCUUCGCGUCUGUCGGCGGUUCGACGUUCGGCGCUUCUACUUCUGGUUAUGGUAGCCGGGGGCCGGCUAACAACAGCUCGGGACAUAGUCGGAAGCAAGUCAUCUGCUACUACUGUAAUAAACCUGGGCACGUGGUUAAGGACUGCAGGCAGCUUAAGGCGCUGAAGCAGUCGUCAAAUUCUGGCUACAAGGGUGGCUACAGCAACAGUGGUAACGGAGGUAGUGGCAGCGGAGCUAGCGGCAGCAAGCCAGGAUCCGGUGGAUCAGCUAGGGGGCCAGGAGUUCCGCGGCAGGUAGCAUUCGUGGCAUACAACAGCAAUCGUCCGACGGAAUGGUUUCUGGACUCAGCCGCUACUCACCACAUAACGUAUGACCGCUCAGAACUUUCCAACGUGCGGUUGUUGGAGCCAUGGGAGCGCUUCAACAUCAUGGGCAUCAAGGGACAAUCUCUUCGACCGACUGAAGUUGGCACGCUUACGAUUCGGUCUAACGUCAACGAUAAACAGGCCAUCACUUUCAAGAAGGUCUACGUCGACGAGGAGGCCACCGCCAAAAUCAUAUCGGUCCGCAUCAUUGAUGAUCGUGGAGGCAGUGUGGUCUUCGGCGGCGGACAGGCGAAAGUAUACGUACAGAACCAGUUGGUGCUGACUGGAAAGCGGGAUGGGGACUUGUAUCCCGUCUGCUACAGCAGUGGAGGUACGGGAGCUCUGAAGAGGACGCAGCGUGAAGACAACAGGAUACCUUCUGGUGGUGGUGUGGUGUGGUUGUUACAGUGGGCUCCAGACUCCCGAAGAGUAGAGCCAUCGGGCCAGCUGGCCGUGCACUGCAGUAGAGACUAAUAUACCAAAAGAUUAUCAUCUCAGAUAAUUAACCUCUCAUCGGUAACCGCUCUCGCGAACAAAUCAAUUUGCCAGAUAUAAUCCUCAAAAAGGGGUGAUGUGCGCCAACGGAUUCCCAACCUUUUCCUGGAAUUCCUAAAGCUGCGAAACCCUGAAUGCGGCCCCAAAAAUCAACAAUAACUCGACAAAUUGCUUCUUCCGUAAGGGAAGGACCAGGUAACAGUGCCGGGUUGGUUUUCAUGUUUGCAGCCAUAUAACGUCUCCCAUGCUCCAUGGCUGACACCGCAGCAAGAGCCACAACAUCCCAAACACAUUGUUGCACUGAUUGUGGGGCUUGGAUAAGCCAAAGUUGCUCCCUUGAGACUGGCAAUCCUAUUGAAAGAGUAAGUUGAUCUGCUAUUGCCUGUGCCACCGGACAGGCCCAGAAAUGAUGAUAGCGAGGGGAUACACCUCCCACUGAACCUAUUGGAUAACCUCCACAACCACAUAUCGUUGGGCGCGACAUCCUAAGAUGGGAAUUUCCUAACAUAGGCACCCCAUCAACCGCAAGACGCCAACAAAUCUCUUUUUGUUCAUUUUCCCACCGUAAAUGAAACCAUAAACGAUGGAAUGUCCGUUGCAAAAGAAGAAUAGCUUCAUCCAAUAUCUCAGAAGAACCCGUCGCCUCUUUGAUGAAAAGGGUAUGGGCCACACGGCGAGCCAUCGAAAAAGGUGAAAGUUGCAUAUUAGUCGCUAUUUUAACGGAUAAUUGUUGGAAUCGGAUUGGAGGCCCUACACCCCAUCUCCAACCAAGCCUCGACACUAGGGUUUGAGUAACCGACUCAAUAGGGGGCACCAUCGCUUCCCUAGAUUCUACACUCAGCGGCAACAAAAGACUAGCCGCCUGUCUCCAAUUCGCUGGAAUAUCAUCUAGAAGAGCGGCAAUAGCAUCCAUACAUUCCUGCGGUUAAGGCCUGACUUCUGCUCCCAGUCGACCCAGUCGACCCAGUCGACCCGGGUUCAAAUCCGCCUGCCGGCUCCUCGGGUGUUUGAGGAGUGAUGAAAUGGGAGGUGGCCCCCCAUCUUAUGGACGGUGUAGGACGUGAUAAUAUCAACUUGCGAGCUGACCAGGAACUAAGUUAAUGCGCCGUUGAUCCGCUAGAUUUGGUUGGAUGCUGGUGGUGAGUUGCCGAACCCAACGAAUACAUUCUGAAGUCGGAUGGGGUGACGGAUUAGGGUGCCCCUCUAGCAGGGGAGAGCAGGGACUGCCCCGGGAAAGGGGGCCGCUGGCGAAGUUAACCACCCUGUAACAACAUACAUACAUUCCUGCCAUUUACGAUAGGUGCACAGGGAUUUAGCUAGUGGGGUUUGCGGUUGGAGGUAUUUAUCCACUAUUUGAUGCCAAGCCUUGCGUAUUGCUAGGCCUGCUUGGUCCGUUGCAUUCAUAACUCCAUCCAAGGCCUCUCGCGCGCAAAGAACAUCUCCCAACGUAUGCAAUGCUUUACAGCCCAGGAGGGCUUGAUGACGAAAUUCUAGUCCCGGGCGGAUGUUAUCUAACUGGACAUUCAAUUUUUUUUCUGGAAGAACAGGGUUUCCCCACAAUGGCAAAUUCCAACACCACGCAUUAGGAACUAACGGGUGGUCAUCAACAUCUUCCACUGGGGGAAGGUAUGCCAACGCUGUCACAAUGCGCUGAACAUCUGGCGGAAAACGAUNNNNNNNNNNNNNNNNNNNNNNNNNNNNNNNNNNNNNNNNNNNNNNNNNNAUGGAUGUCCGUUGCAAAGAAGAAUAGCUUCAUCCAAUAUCUCAGAAGAACCCGUCGCCUCUUUGAUGAAAAGGGUAUGGGCCACACGGCGAGCCAUCGAAAAAGGUGAAAGUUGCAUAUUAGUCGCUAUUUUAACGGAUAAUUGUUGGAAUCGGAUUGGAGGCCCUACACCCCAUCUCCAACCAAGCCUCGACACUAGGGUUUGAGUAACCGACUCAAUAGGGGGCACCAUCGCUUCCCUAGAUUCUACACUCAGCGGCAACAAAAGACUAGCCGCCUGUCUCCAAUUCGCUGGAAUAUCAUCUAGAAGAGCGGCAAUAGCAUCCAUACAUUCCUGCGGUUAAGGCCUGACUUCUGCUCCCAGUCGACCCAGUCGACCCAGUCGACCCGGGUUCAAAUCCGCCUGCCGGCUCCUCGGGUGUUUGAGGAGUGAUGAAAUGGGAGGUGGCCCCCCAUCUUAUGGACGGUGUAGGACGUGAUAAUAUCAACUUGCGAGCUGACCAGGAACUAAGUUAAUGCGCCGUUGAUCCGCUAGAUUUGGUUGGAUGCUGGUGGUGAGUUGCCGAACCCAACGAAUACAUUCUGAAGUCGGAUGGGGUGACGGAUUAGGGUGCCCCUCUAGCAGGGGAGAGCAGGGACUGCCCCGGGAAAGGGGGCCGCUGGCGAAGUUAACCACCCUGUAACAACAUACAUACAUUCCUGCCAUUUACGAUAGGUGCACAGGGAUUUAGCUAGUGGGGUUUGCGGUUGGAGGUAUUUAUCCACUAUUUGAUGCCAAGCCUUGCGUAUUGCUAGGCCUGCUUGGUCCGUUGCAUUCAUAACUCCAUCCAAGGCCUCUCGCGCGCAAAGAACAUCUCCCAACGUAUGCAAUGCUUUACAGCCCAGGAGGGCUUGAUGACGAAAUUCUAGUCCCGGGCNNNNNNNNNNNNNNNNNNNNNNNNNNNNNNNNNNNNNNNNNNNNNNNNNNCCGGAAUUGCUUGGAUGCCUUCUAAAACAACUUCCGUGUCAUCAGCAAAUUGCACACCUGUAACCAUUUCUGAAUUAUUUUGGGGUAAAUGAAUCCCCACUCGGUUGUACUGUAACCAACACAGUAACGCCUGCGCGACAAACAAGUAUAGCAACGGUGCCAACGGACAUCCCUGUCGCACACCCGCUGUAAGAGCAACUUCACGGGAAAAAAAACCAUUUACUACCGCUUUCGACGCUGUAUCGGAUAACAGAAUUUUAGUCCAACUAAUGAACCCUGCUCCUGCGCCCAUAGCAUCCAUUGCUUCAAAUAAAAAAUUACGAUCUAAGGAAUCGUAAGCUUUAGCAAUAUCCAAAAAAGCCAGGAGACACGACUGUCCUGUCGUCGACAUAAGUUGCGGUAGAUGCCGCAGGAAAAGAACAUCUGCACCUAUCAAGCGCUCUGGCAGGAAAGCAGACUGCUCGAGCGUGAUAAUUCGCCCUAGUAUUGGACUCAGCCUACGGGUUAAUAUCUUGGUGAAAAUCCUGUAAUCUGUAUUCAACAAGGUAAUCGGUCGAUAACUACCCGGGGAGGUGGGAGACCCCCGAUUUUUAUAAAUAACCGUAAUAGCACCUUGCAAAAAGCCAUCUGGGUGCAUUUGGGUUUGGCCCAUGGCUGUAUACAGUUGAGCAAGAACUGGUGCAAUCUCGUUCCGACACACCUUGUAUAAUUCAAUUGGGAUGCCAUCUAGACCGGGCGCUUUGCCUGGCGUCGCUUCCUUGAGCACCGCUUCCACUUCAACGUCAGACACCUCCGGUCUUCCUACAUGAUACGCAUCCUCCUCCGGAAUGACAAGGUGGCGAUUCCGCAGCGCCUCUAUAACAGCCAUCCUAGCCUCUUCAGUCACAUGAGUUGGGGAGGAACAAAUCUCUCCCCAAAAAUCCGCAACCAUCUGUGGCAACUUCAUCGUGUCUGUAAUAAGACGACCCGUUCUAUCUUGCAACGCCGGAAUAACUUGCAGAGUCUUAGACGGAUGCACCAGGGCAGUUAGCCCUCUACUAGGCCGUUCACCCUCACGAAUCCACUGUAACCGAACCCGUUCCGCCUCCUGUGCACCUUCAGCUCUAGCCGCUUGUACAACCGCUACUUGGGCGUCAAUUGCCGCUUGGAUUCUCUGUGCACUCAUAUGUUCGGUCUGCACAUCUUCCAGUGCCCUUGUUGCAUGUUCUAUUGCCAAACGUAGUUGCCCCCCCGGGGGAAAACGACGUUCUCGCGCUUGCCGAUUAAGAACAUUUACUUCAUUGAACAUUCGAUGUUUAAACAACGGCCACCAUUGUAGCAUAGCUACUGUGUCUGUCUCAGCGGGUCUCUGCGCACACUCAUCACCAAUCCAUUGCAAGAAGCUUCNCNNNNNNNNNNNNNNNNNNNNNNNNNNNNNNNNNNNNNNNNNNNNNNNNNNCCUGAUGUCGGUAGUCCCGGUUGAUUGGUGGUUGUGUAUGAGAGCUGCUGCUGUUGUCGCUGCUGCUGCUGUGGCGGCUGUUGCUGUAUCUGUUGCUGUUGCUGUUGUGGUUGCUGGUUCUGUCGUUGUUGUUGCUGUUGCUGUUGUUGCUGCUGUGUUUGCUGUUGCUGUGUCUGUUGUUGCUGUUGCUGUUGUUGCUGUUGCUGCUGUUGUUGUACUUGUCUUCGUACAACGGCGGCGGCUGCUCUGCCUGCCAUUUCUGUUGCCUCCUCGUUGGAUACUCGAUUUUGCAUCUGCUGUUGUCGAGUUAUUUGCUGGAUUGUCUGGGGCUGUCCAGUAGCCAUGGGUUGACGUGCAUUACUUGAUCCUCCUACCUCACCCACCGCUGGCGUCGCUAGAUUUGGCCGUGCUCGCGCCGCGAUGACUGCCGCCGCCGAAAUGGGCGGCGGGAGAUUCGGUAUCAAGCGGUUUCGUUGUUGAAUCUUGGGGGGGCGGGCAAAGCCGGAGUCUGUGUGUCGUAAUACGUGUGUUGCGCUCUCCACGCUCCCCUAUGAAUCCGCCGGCCAUCCUCCUCAAUGGAGAAAAUAUUCAUCCUGGCGGGUAAUGCGGGCUGAUCCCAUCGCACCCACACCACGGCUGUAGUGAGACUAGCUUCGACUAUCCCCCAUUUCUUUCCAUAUUCAUCUACGUCAAAGCCGUAGGCUUCCGCAAUAAGCCAGAAUAGGCAUUUCUGAGGAAAUGCUGGAGGUAAUCCUGUCAGUCUGAAGUAUUGGGCAGAUGCCCCCACUAUGUCUACUACAAGAUCCUAGAUGGAGAUCUGCUAGAUUGAUUCGUCCGCAAUGGUCCGCUAAGUUUUUUACGGGCGUAAUCCACUCCUCCGGUACGUAGACGUUGAUCUGUCCAACGACUCCUUCGUCGUUGCGAGCUUCCCAAGCGACCGGUUCUCCGACGAAAACAUAAGGAGCUUUUAGCUCCUGUUGUACUGUCUGCACUAUUCGGUGUCCAAUCGGUCCUGCCAUAAUGUCUAUUACCUGCUUUCUGUUCUCUAGGUAGUUUCCUUGAAAGAUUGCUCUCAUUGCCAGCGAUCGAAGUUUGCCAAAAGGUUGCUCCAUCUUCGUAAUUUCCCUAAGAAGGGAGAUUGAUAUGGUUGCUUCAGAUCGUUCCGCCGUCACACCGGCGGCCUGAUCCGUUGAACUGUUGCGAGCCAUUUUGAUGUCUUUUGUCUCAGAAAAGUUAUUGAAGGUAAAUAGACCGACCGGGUUACCCGNGUCGGUCUUGGUAUGAUGUUGAGUCUGCAAGUGUGGAUUGGGGCUAUAUGGUGGCUAAAUUGGUAUAUUGCUAUAUUGCUAUAGGAGUGUAGUAAGGUGAUGCAGUGUGUGCUGCCGUGGGUAUCGGAGCUGAACGUGCAGCACUUUGCACCGAAGGUAUGGCCACUUGGGAUACAGCACCCUGAGACGUUGCUGCGUCAUAAUAUGGUAGCUGGAUUUGAUGUUGACCGACACAGCAUACAAUCAGCCAGCGCGUGUGUGUGUGAGACUUGUCUUUGCUAAGCAUACACGUGGUCCUUUUCCGUUAUCUGGGCAUAAGGCAGCGCAGACUCUCGCGCUCAUUCACAUGGAUGUGUGUGGGCCUAUGCCUGAACCUUCGCCUAGUGGUUCGCGUUACGUGACAACCCUGCUUGACGACCAUACUGGUCUUUCAGCUGUUGCGUUUACAGCGACCAAGGAGGAGGUCUACCAGAAGAUGGUGGUAAUGAUAGCGGAACUGGAGCGCGCUACUGGCAGGCAGGUUAAGGAGGUGCGUACAGAUCGUGGCGGGGAGUUCGUUAAUACUCGCACGAAGGCCUAUUUCGCUUCCAGGGGUAUUCUACACGGAACUACGGUAGGCUACACCCCUGAGCAGAACGGAGCUGCAGAACGUUUAAAUCGCACUCUUUUGGACAAGACUAGGGCUAUGCUAGUUGAGUCUGGACUGCCUAAAUCAUUAUGGGCGGAGGCGUUAGCGACAGCCAACUAUCUUAGGAAUGUGUCGCCAACUGCUGGGUCAACCGUCACUCCGUACGAAGCUUUCUUUAAUGUUCGUCCGAACGUCAGUCACCUGCGAGUUUUUGGAUGCGUUGCCUACGUCCACGUACCUGACGUCAAGCGCGACAAGUUCGACCCGGUGAGCAGGCGUGGAAUACUUGUCGGAUAUGGGAACGGUGGACAGUAUCGUGUACAAUACGAGGACGGCAUUAUUGCCAUAGUUUCUAACGUUCGCUUUGACGAGUCGAAUGUCGGCCGGCGGCGUAAUGCCGGGGACUCCGAUUAUGAGUCCGAUGCCGACGAGGAGGAGGAGUUUCGCACUAGUUUAUCUGGUGAGGGAUCGCUGCCUAGGGCUGGCGAAGGGACACCAGGUAGCACCGUCGGCGAGGGAUCGCCGCACUUGGGUGGCGAGGGGGCGCCGGCUGGGGCUGGACCUUCCAGCAGUGCGAACGGGCAAGGAAUUAAUUAGCCUGAUGUGGAAAUGGCAGGGACACGAUAUCCAGUUAGAGAGCGGAAACGCCCUGGCGAAUGGUGGCGAAACGAACCUGGUCGCACUGUUACUGGUCGCGUUAACGCUGCUUUCUCUGCUGGUAUUCCUGAGCCUAAUUCGUUUGCAGAAGCCAUUGCAAGUCCAAAUGCAGACGACUGGCGGCGUGCGAUGGACGAGGAGAUCGCCGCCCAGAUGGCUAAUAGUACUUGGGAGCUGAAGAAGCCACCUCCUGGUACUCGUUUGUUGCCGUGUCGUUGGGUAUGUAAGGUUAAGUACAGCGAUGACGGCAGCGUGGAGCGUUUUAAGGCGCGUUUAGUUGCCAAGGGUUUCGAGCAACGUGAGGGGAUUGAUUAUGGGGAGUUGUUUGCCCCUACCUCUCGUGGUUCGUCAUUGCGUGCUUUAUUAGCAGUUGCCGCAGCCCGGAACAUGACGGNNNNNNNNNNNNNNNNNNNNNNNNNNNNNNNNNNNNNNNNNNNNNNNNNNCAGCCAUCCUAGCCUCUUAGUCCAUGAGUUGGGGAGGAACAAAUCUCUCCCCAAAAAUCCGCAACCAUCUGUGGCAACUUCAUCGUGUCUGUAAUAAGACGACCCGUUCUAUCUUGCAACGCCGGAAUAACUUGCAGAGUCUUAGACGGAUGCACCAGGGCAGUUAGCCCUCUACUAGGCCGUUCACCCUCACGAAUCCACUGUAACCGAACCCGUUCCGCCUCCUGUGCACCUUCAGCUCUAGCCGCUUGUACAACCGCUACUUGGGCGUCAAUUGCCGCUUGGAUUCUCUGUGCACUCAUAUGUUCGGUCUGCACAUCUUCCAGUGCCCUUGUUGCAUGUUCUAUUGCCAAACGUAGUUGCCCCCCCGGGGGAAAACGACGUUCUCGCGCUUGCCGAUUAAGAACAUUUACUUCAUUGAACAUUCGAUGUUUAAACAACGGCCACCAUUGUAGCAUAGCUACUGUGUCUGUCUCAGCGGGUCUCUGCGCACACUCAUCACCAAUCCAUUGCAAGAAGUUUCCCUUCAAGUCAGGAAAAUCUAAGAAAUGCGUGUGUAGCCUUGGAAGGCCUGGACCACGCUUUCUCACAAGACGAGGUAAAAGAGCAAUAAUAGCUAAACGAUGGUCUGUCGAAGUGCACACUGGAAUGGUAGAGGAAGCGAUGAAGGGGGUGAGGUUUGUGGAAGUAUAGAUUCGAUCAAGACGUGACCCUCCCGACACACUUGUUUUAUAGAANAACGAAAGGUCGCGACGGGUAGGGUGGAGGUAGCGAUAUGUGUCUACCAUAUCCGGGCAGCAUUCGGNNNNNNNNNNNNNNNNNNNNNNNNNNNNNNNNNNNNNNNNNNNNNNNNNNCUCCUCAUGGAGAAAUAUUCAUCCUGGCGGGUAAUGCGGGCUGAUCCCAUCGCACCCACACCACGGCUGUAGUGAGACUAGCUUCGACUAUCCCCCAUUUCUUUCCAUAUUCAUCUACGUCAAAGCCGUAGGCUUCCGCAAUAAGCCAGAAUAGGCAUUUCUGAGGAAAUGCUGGAGGUAAUCCUGUCAGUCUGAAGUAUUGGGCAGAUGCCCCCACUAUGUCUACUACAAGAUCCUAGAUGGAGAUCUGCUAGAUUGAUUCGUCCGCAAUGGUCCGCUAAGUUUUUUACGGGCGUAAUCCACUCCUCCGGUACGUAGACGUUGAUCUGUCCAACGACUCCUUCGUCGUUGCGAGCUUCCCAAGCGACCGGUUCUCCGACGAAAACAUAAGGAGCUUUUAGCUCCUGUUGUACUGUCUGCACUAUUCGGUGUCCAAUCGGUCCUGCCAUAAUGUCUAUUACCUGCUUUCUGUUCUCUAGGUAGUUUCCUUGAAAGAUUGCUCUCAUUGCCAGCGAUCGAAGUUUGCCAAAAGGUUGCUCCAUCUUCGUAAUUUCCCUAAGAAGGGAGAUUGAUAUGGUUGCUUCAGAUCGUUCCGCCGUCACACCGGCGGCCUGAUCCGUUGAACUGUUGCGAGCCAUUUUGAUGUCUUUGUUCUCAGAAAAGUUAUUGAAGGUAAAUAGACCGACCGGGUUAACCCGGUUCGGUCAUUGUUAUGAUGUUGAGUCUGCAAGUUGUGAUUGUGGCUAUAUGGUUGCUAUAUUGCUAUAUUGCUAUAUUGCUAUAUGAGUGUAGUAGGGUGAUGCAGUGUGUGCUGCCGUGGGUAUCGGAGCUGAACGUGCAGCACUUUGGCACCGAAGGUAUGGCCACUUGGGAUACAGCAACCUUGAGACGUUGCUGCGUCAUAAUAUGGUAGCUGGAUUUGAUGUUGACCGACACAGCAUACAAUCAGCCAGCGCGUGUGUGUGUGAGACUUGUCUUUGCUAAGCAUACACGUGGUCCUUUUCCGUUAUCUGGGCAUAAGGCAGCGCAGACUCUCGCGCUCAUUCACAUGGAUGUGUGUGGGCCUAUGCCUGAACCUUCGCCUAGUGGUUCGCGUUACGUGACAACCCUGCUUGACGACCAUACUGGUCUUUCAGCUGUUGCGUUUACAGCGACCAAGGAGGAGGUCUACCAGAAGAUGGUGGUAAUGAUAGCGGAACUGGAGCGCGCUACUGGCAGGCAGGUUAAGGAGGUGCGUACAGAUCGUGGCGGGGAGUUCGUUAAUACUCGCACGAAGGCCUAUUUCGCUUCCAGGGGUAUUCUACACGGAACUACGGUAGGCUACACCCCUGAGCAGAACGGAGCUGCAGAACGUUUAAAUCGCACUCUUUUGGACAAGACUAGGGCUAUGCUAGUUGAGUCUGGACUGCCUAAAUCAUUAUGGGCGGAGGCGUUAGCGACAGCCAACUAUCUUAGGAAUGUGUCGCCAACUGCUGGGUCAACCGUCACUCCGUACGAAGCUUUCUUUAAUGUUCGUCCGAACGUCAGUCACCUGCGAGUUUUUGGAUGCGUUGCCUACGUCCACGUACCUGACGUCAAGCGCGACAAGUUCGACCCGGUGAGCAGGCGUGGAAUACUUGUCGGAUAUGGGAACGGUGGACAGUAUCGUGUACAAUACGAGGACGGCAUUAUUGCCAUAGUUUCUAACGUUCGCUUUGACGAGUCGAAUGUCGGCCGGCGGCGUAAUGCCGGGGACUCCGAUUAUGAGUCCGAUGCCGACGAGGAGGAGGAGUUUCGCACUAGUUUAUCUGGUGAGGGAUCGCUGCCUAGGGCUGGCGAAGGGACACCAGGUAGCACCGUCGGCGAGGGAUCGCCGCACUUGGGUGGCGAGGGGGCGCCGGCUGGGGCUGGACCUUCCAGCAGUGCGAACGGGCAAGGAAUUAAUUAGCCUGAUGUGGAAAUGGCAGGGACACGAUAUCCAGUUAGAGAGCGGAAACGCCCUGGCGAAUGGUGGCGAAACGAACCUGGUCGCACUGUUACUGGUCGCGUUAACGCUGCUUUCUCUGCUGGUAUUCCUGAGCCUAAUUCGUUUGCAGAAGCCAUUGCAAGUCCAAAUGCAGACGACUGGCGGCGUGCGAUGGACGAGGAGAUCGCCGCCCAGAUGGCUAAUAGUACUUGGGAGCUGAAGAAGCCACCUCCUGGUACUCGUUUGUUGCCGUGUCGUUGGGUAUGUAAGGUUAAGUACAGCGAUGACGGCAGCGUGGAGCGUUUUAAGGCGCGUUUAGUUGCCAAGGGUUUCGAGCAACGUGAGGGGAUUGAUUAUGGGGAGUUGUUUGCCCCUACCUCUCGUGGUUCGUCAUUGCGUGCUUUAUUAGCAGUUGCCGCAGCCCGGAACAUGACGGUACAUCAGCUCGAUGUGUCUACUGCGUUUUUGAACGGUGAGCUGAAGGAGGAAUUGUGGAUGGAGCAACCGCCUGGGUAUGCAUCCAGUGACCGGUCGCUUGCGUGCAACCUGCAGAAGUCUAUUUACGGGUUGAAGCAGGCACCCCGUUGCUGGUAUGAGAAACUAUCAGCAGAGUUCGCCAAGUUGGGUCUUUAUCCUUCGAAGUCUGAUCCGGCGAUGUUUGUUAAGACGGACGAGCGUGGGGUUGUUAUUGCUUUGGUACACCAUUACAUUACAUUACAUUACAAUUGUUGCGUCGGAAGACCCGGAAAUGGUCCGGGCAAUUAAAGCCGCAAUUGCGAAGGUCUUCAAGGUGCGCGACCUUGGAGAAGCGAAGGUGUUUUUGGGCAUGGAGAUGAGGAGGGAGAAGUCGGGUGAGAUAGUGUUGUCGCAGCAUAGGUAUAUUGCGCAGCUGUUGGAGCGUCAUAGGAUGAUUGACGCCAAACCGAGGUCUACCCCUUUGCCUCCGGGCUUUAGGUACACUCCUAAGGGGGACGGAGAGGAGCUGCUGGGCAAUCCCACAGAGUAUAGGGCUUUGGUGGGAGAAUUGAACUAUCUGGCGACGAACACGCGGCCUGACAUUUCAUAUGCAUUGAGCGUUUUGUCCCGACAUAUGGCCGCACCGACGAAGACUGCCAUGAACUUGGCAACCGGCGUUCUGCGUUACCUGGCGGGUACACGCGAACUAGGAUUGCGUUUUGGGGGUGUUGGCGACGUUGCUAUGUCCGGGUACAGUGAUUCGGACUGGGCAGGAGACCCAGUUACGCGGCAUUCUACGUCCGGUUACGUAUUCACUCUCAAUGGGGCUGCGAUUAGCUGGAGCAGCCAACUUCAACGUACUGUGGCGGCUUCGUCGGUGGAGGCUGAGUACCAAGCUACAGCGGCGGCUGUUCGUGAGGCUUUGUGGCUUCGCAAGCUGAUGGUUGAUUUGGGCUUGCCUGAGAGCGCGGUUAAAAUCCAGAUAGACUCCCAGGGGGCGCUUAGCUUGGGAAACAACCCGAUUACGUCUGCUCGGUCGAAGCACAUCGACGUGCAGCAUCACAUAGUGCGUGAGAGGGUGAAUAGUGGUGAGGUGCAGUUGGAAUACUGCCCUACGGAGUGGAUGGUUGCGGAUGUGCUAACGAAGGCUCUGGGCGAGGUGAAGUUCAAACGUUGCCGAGAUGCUAUGGACCUUGUGUGAAGUGUGCAGAUGAACUUAGUACUCGUUGGGAUACGGCCCGAGGGGGCGUGUUGAAGAAACGGUCCUCUCCCAACUCGUGUGGUUGUCGACCAGGGGAUUUGACCCCGGGUCUGCGCCUGACUAAUGGGGAAGACUUACCCCAGAACUUUAUGGGGCUACCGAUGCAUAUCCGGUAGCUAAGUGAUAGACAUUAGGGCACCGUCUGGACGGCGCAGUGAGAUCGCGGAAUGUACGUGCAGUUAGAUCGCGGAAUGUACGAGUUUUCCGCUAGCGCCGGUAUUUAGGGCGGUGACUGCGCUUAUUUGUUUAUCUCACAACGAUCGGUAUUCCUCAAAGGAAUCUCCUCAAGUCCUGCCGAACGCUAAUAAUACUCUUUACAUAACUUGUAACAUUUUAUCGUGCUAAAUAUCUUCGCCACUGGCAAUUCUUCUGAGAUAACAAUCAGCGUUAGCCGUCACCGUCGCCAAUUCUCCAAUAUAUGAGCCCCGCCUCACGCUAGCAGCAUCUACCUCUAAAACUCGUAUUCCACAAUGGGGAAGGACAAGCUUGACGAGCCUCUGGACUUGAACAACUACGCCACCUGGCAAAUUCGGUUCAGCACGCUGUGUAUGGAGCUUGGGCUUGAGCAGUCCUUGCUUGCCGAGCCGGGAAACGAGGAGCAGAUUCGACAAUCUCGUAAGGUUAUCAACCUGCUCAUCAAGAAUGUUAAAGAUCACCAUUUGCCGAUGGUUACGGGUGCUGCAAACGCGAAGAGGGCAUGGGACGAUCUGGCCGUGAUGUUUGUCGCUAACAAUAACGCACGCAAGGUAGCUCUCCGUCAAGAGUUCAGCCGUUUCAAGAUGGUCGACGGCGAGCCGCUACCCAAGUACUUUGCACGUGCGCGGCAAUUACAGACAGACUUGUUGGGAGUGGGGCACGUUAUCAGCAAGUCGGAGCUGGCGUACACAGUGCUGGUUGGUCUACCCAGCCACUUCAAUGUGGUAACGACGUCCCUGCUGGUGCGUGACGGUGAUUUGGACAUGGCGAGCGUCACCUCCAAGCUUUUGGCUAUCGAGGUGGCAAGCGGUGGGUCUAGUAAGCCUACCGAGUCGGCAGCUUUUGCUUCUGUCGGCGGUCUCACGUUUGGCGCCUCUGGUUCUGGUCUUAGGAAUCACGGCGCGGCCAGCAGCAGUUCUGGCGGUUCCCCCAAACAUUUGUUUUGUCACUAUUGCAAAAAGCCCGGGCACGAUAUUAAGGACUGCAGGAAGUUGAAGGCACUAAAGCAGUUGUCCAUUUCUGGCAGUGGACAAGGUAAGGGUGGUGGUGGCAGCGGAGCUAGCGGCAACAAGCCUGGGCCCGGUGGGUCUGGAAGGGGAUCAGGAUUCCCGCGGCAGGUAGCGUUCACAGCUUACAAUGGUGAGCGUCCGCAGGGGUGGUUCCUGGACUCAGCCACCACUCACCACAUAACGUAUGACCUCUCAGAACUUCUCAACGUGCGGUUGUUGGAGCCGUGGGAGCGCUUCAACAUCAUGGGCAUCAAGGGACAGUCUCUUCGGCCGACUGAAGUUGGCACGCUUAUGAUUCGGUCUAAUGUCAACGAUAAACAGGCCAUCACUUUUAAGAAGGUCUACGUCGACGAGGAGGCCACUGCCAAAAUCCUAUCGGUCCGUAUCAUUGAUGAUCGUGGAGGCAGUGUGGUCCUCGGCGGCGGACAGGUGAAAGUACACAUACAGAACCAGUUGGUGCUGACUGGAAAGCGGGAUGGGGACUUGUAUCCCGUCUGCUACAGCAGUGGAGGUACGGGCGCUCUGAAGUGGACGGAGCGUGAAGACAACAGGAUACCUUCUGGUGGUGGUGCAGUGUGUGCUGCCGUGGAUGUCGGAGCUGAACGUGCAGCACUUUGGCACCGACGGUAUGGCCACUUGGGAUACAGCAACCUUGAGGCGUUGCUGCGUCACAAUAUGGUAACUGGCUUCGAUGUUGACCGACACAGCAUACAAUCAGCCAGCACGUGUGUGUGUGAGACUUGCGUCCUUGCAAGGCAUACACGUGGUCCUUUUCCGUUAUCUGGGCAUAAGGCAGCGCAGCCUCUCACGCUCAUUCACAUGGAUGUAAUUACCUCUCGCGCUCAUUCACAUGGAUGUGUGUGGGCCUAUGCCUGAACCUUCACCAAAUGGUUCGCGUUACGUGACCACCCUUCUUGAUGGCCACACCGGUCUGUCAGCUGUUGCGUUUACGGCGUCCAAGGAAGAGAUAUAUCAGAAGGUUAGGUGGUGGUGAUGAUAGCGGACCUGGAACGGGCAUCUGGUCGGCAGGUAAAGGAGGUGCGCACGGAUCGUGGCGGGGAGUUUGUGAAUACUCGCACGAAAAACUACUUCGCGUCAAGGGGUAUUUUUGCACGGAACUACGGCGGGCUACACUCCUGAGCAGAACGGUGCAGCAGAACGCCUGAACCGCACUCUUCUAGACAAGGCCAGGUCAAUGCUCAUAGAGUCUGGACUCCCAAAAUCACUGUGGGCGGAAGCGUUGGCGACUGCAAACUACCUCAGGAACGUGUCGCCAACUGCUGGGUCAACCGUCACUCCACAUCAAGCCUUCUUUGGUGUUCGUCCGAAUGUCAGCCAUCUGCGGGUCUUUUGAUGCGCUGCAUAUGUUCAUGUGCCCAACGUCAAGCGAGACAAACUCGAUCCGGUAAGCAGGCGAGGAAUCCUAGUCCGAUACGGGAAUGGAGGACAGUACCGCGUACUGUACGAGGACGGCGUCAUCGCUGUGGUCUCCAGUGUCCGCUUUGACGAGUCUAAUGUCGGCCGGCGGCGUAGUGCUAGGGACUCCGAUUAUGGGUCCGAUGCCGAUGAGGAGGAGGACGUUCACACUAACUUGCCUGGUGAGGGGUCGCUGCCUAGGGCUGGCGAAGGAACAUCAGGCAAUACCGUCGGCGACGGAUCGCCACAUUCGCCACGGCGAGGGGGCGCCGGCUGGGGCUGGACCUUCCAGCAGUGCGAACGUGCAAGGUAACAAUCAGCCUGAUGUGGAAAUGGCAGGGACCCGGUACCCAGUUAGAGAGCGUAAACGCCCUGGCGAGUGGUGGCGAAACGAGCCUGGUCGCACUGUUACUGGUCGUGUUAAUUCUGCUUUUUCUGCUGUCAUUCCUGAACCGAAUUCGUUUGCGGAAGCAAUUGCAAGUCCACAUGCAGAUGAUUGGCGGCGUGCAAUGGACGAGGAGAUCGCCGCCCAGAUGGCUAACAGUACUUGGGAGCUGAAGAAGCCACCUCCUGGUACUCAUUUAUUGCCGUGUCAUUGGGUGUAUCAGGUUAACGAUGUACAACGAUGACGGCAGUGUGGAGCGUUUUAAGGCGCGAUUGGUUGCGAAGGGUUUCGAGCAAUGCGAGGGGAUUGAUUAUGGGGAGUUGUUUGCCCCUACCUCACGUGGUUCGUCAUUACAUGCAGUUGCCACAGCGCGGAACAUGACGGUGCACCAGCUCGAUGUGUCUACUGCAUUUUUGAACGGUGAGUUGAAGGAGGAGUUGUGGAUGCAGCAACCACCUGGGUAUGAAUCCAGUGACCGGUCGCUUGCGUGCAAGCUGCAAAAGUCGAUUUACGGUUUGAAGCAGGCACCCCGUUGCUGGUAUGAAAAGCUAUCAGCAGAGUUCGCCAAGCUGGGUCUUUAUCCUUCGAAGUCUGAUCCGGCGAUGUUCCUUAAGACGGACGAGCGUGUGGUUGUUAUUGCCUUGGUGCACGUAGACGAUACCAUUGUUGCGUCGGAAGACCCGGAAAUGGUCCGGGCAAUUAAAGCUGCAAUUGCGAAGGUCUUCAAAGUGUGCGACCUUGGAGAAGCGAAGGUGUUUUUGGGCAUGAAAUUAGGAGGGAGAAGUCGGGUGAGAUAGUGUUGUCGCAGCGUAGGUAUAUUGAGCAGCUAUUGGAGCAUAUAAGUUGGUUGACGCCAAGCCGAGGUCUACCCCUUUGCCUCCGGGUUUUAGGUACACUCCUACGGGGGACGGAGAAAAGCUGCUGGACAAUCCCACGGAGUAUAGGGCUUUGGUGGGAGAGUUGAAUUACCUAGUGACGAACACGCGGCCUGACAUUUCGUAUGCAUUGAGUGUUUUGUCCCGGCAUAUGGCUGCACCCACGAAGAGUGCUAUGAACUUAGCAAUUGGCGUUCUGCGUUACCUGGCGGGUACUCGCGAACUAGGAUUACGUUUUGGGGGUGUUGGCGACAUUGAGAUGUCCGGGUAUAGUAGUGAUUCUGACUGGGCAGGAGACCCGGUUACACGGCGUUCUACUUCCGGCUACGUUUUCACUCUAAAUGGGGCUGCGAUUACCUGGAGCAGCCAACUUCAACCAUUAACCCACAGACUGUAACCCUUUUAUCGCAACCAGUCUCCUUGCCUCCUUCAUAUCCUUAACACUCACGCACUAUGUGGUGCUGCACGUUGAUGUGUUUCAACCAAGCAGACGUAAUCGGAUUAUUUCCCAAGCUAAGCGCCCCCUGGGAGUCUAUCUGGAUUUUCACCGCGCUCUCAGCCAAGCCCAAAUCGACCAUCAGCUUGUGAAGCCACAAAGCUUCACGAACAGCUGCCGCUGUAGCUUGGUACUCGGCCUCCACCGACGAAGCCGCCACAGUACGUUGAAGUUGGCUGCUCCAGCUAAUUACAGCCCCAUUAAGAGUGAAUACAUAACCGGACGUAGAAUGCCGCGUAACUGGGUCUCCUGCCCAGUCCGAAUCGCUGUACCCGGACAUUGGAACACCGCCAACACCCCCAAAACGCAAUCCUAGUUCGCGAGUACCCGCCAGGUAACGCAGAACGCCAGUGGCCAAAUUCAUGGCAAUCUUCGUAGGUGUGGCCAUAUGCCGGGACAAAACACUCAAUGCAUAAGGAAAUGUCUGGCCAUGUGUUCGUCGCUAGGUAGUUCAACUCUCUCACCAAAGCCCUAUACUCAGUGGGAUUACCCAGCAGCUCAUCUCUAUCCCCCGUAGGUGUGCACCUAAAACCCGGAGGCAAAGGGGUAGACCGUGGCUUGGCGUCCACCGUCUGGUGACGCUCCAAUAGCUGCUAAAUAUUGCGACAACACCAAUUCGCCCGGCUUCUUCCUCUAAUUUCCAUGCCCGAAAAUACCUGCGCUUCUACAAGGUGUCGUACUUCUCGUACACCGUUGCAGCAAGCCAUGCAAAAAAGCGCUUGACGUCACCUUCCACUGUUUUCAACUUGUACAACCACUGUAGGUGGCACACGCACAGUAUAAGGCUGUACACACAGCACACAAGUGCAUUUGACCAUCACUAUGCGCCACUCAUUUGCCCUUGCUCCUGAAAUGGCUUCAGUGAAAGUAUAACUCAGCAAAAACUCAGAAGGGUACGGAUCAGUGACAGCCACGUUAAUGCGACCUACUAUCCUCCUUCCUGGAACACCAUGCCACCACUCCGAGGGCUAUAAUAUCUCCUCAUAUUCCCUGCCCUAUUCUUCUGAACUCGUGCGCUGGCUUGCACCACUAGAUGUUCCGGCUUCAUCCGGCAUUCCUUCACCAUCCACAGGUGACAGUGGUGCCUAGCCGACCGUGGUGCCUAGCCGACCGUGUUUCCUAAGUCUACCAGAACUUGGCAGAGGCCCUGACUCAGGCACACCAAUACUAGCCGCUUCGGAGUCAGACAAUUGAUAGUGGUUCUUAUCUUGCAACAAAAACAAUACACGGCAUCACUGCACUGCUGCCACCGCCUGUCUGGUGAGGCAUGCUACCCCACCUGCCAUGUGUGGGCGCCAAGACCACUUCCACUCCUUCCUUGCACGUUAGGCUGCGGCUCUCUCUGCAACUCCGAGCUAUACGGCCCGUCUGUUUGUGUUAAGAAUAUGGAGGCAAGGAGACUCGAAGGGUUGCGAGAAGGGUUGCGAUAUAAGUAUUACAAUCGGUAGGUGAGUGGUAAACGGCAGGAAGACUUUAGGAGAUUCCUACUGAGGAAUACCGAUCCAUACAAAGAUGAGAUACUAAGACUUGCACAACUCGUGUCUUAUAUACCAAUACCAACGGAAGUAUCGUACAGUCGUCCACCAUCCCUGGACCUGAGGACACGUCCGAGAUACGCGGCCGAAAGACCCGAGGCAAGGUCGAGGUACGGCUGAGGCAUCGCCUAUCAUGGUGGAUUCAUCGCCUAACUACCACCUAUCUACGUUGGGAUAGGACCGCCCUUCAACACGCCCCCUCAGGACAAAUCCUAACUCGCAGUAGCACAUUUGCUCCGCCAGUGGGCACUUCACACUAGCUUCUCUGCACCGUUUGAACUUCAAUUCUCCCAGUGCCUUCGUUAGCGCAUCCGCCACCAUCCACUCUGUAGGGCAGUACUCCAACUGCACCUCCCCGCUAUUCACCCUCUCACACACUAUGUGGUGCUGCAUGCCGAUGUGUUUCGACCGAGCAGACGUAAUCAGAUUAUUUCCCAAGCUAAGCGCCCCCUGGGAGUCUAUCUGGAUUUUCACCGCGCUCAAAUCGACCAUCAGCAAGCCCAAAUCGACCAUCAGCUUGUGAAGCCACAAAGCUUCAUGAACAGCUGCCGCUGUAGCUUGGUACUCGGCCUCCACCGACGAAGCCGCCACAGUACGUUGAAGUUGGCUGCUCCAGCUAAUUACAGCCCCAUUAAGAGUGAAUACAUAACCGGACGUAGAAUGCCGCGUAACUGGGUCUCCUGCCCAGUCAGAAUCGCUGUACCUGGACAUUGCAACACCGCCAACACCCCCAAAAUGCAAUCCUAGUUCGCGAGUACCCGCCAGGUAACGCAGAACGCCAGUGGCCAAGUUCAUGGCAGUCUUCGUAGGUGUGGCCAUAUGCCGGGACAAAACACUCAAUGCAUACAAAAUAUCAGGCCGCGUGUUCGUCGCCAGAUAGUUCAACCCUCCCACCAAAGCCCUAUACUCCGUGGGAUUGCCCAGCAGCUCCUGUCCGUCCCCCCUAGGAGUGUACCUAAAGCCCGGAGGCAAAGGGGUAGAUCUCGGCUUGGCGUCAACCAUCCUAUGACACUCCAACAGCUGCUCAAUGUACGUAUGCUGCGACAACACUAUCUCACCCGACUUCUCCCUCCUCAUCUCCAUGCCCCAAAACACCUUCGCUUCUCCAAGGUCACGCACCUUGAAGACCUUCACAAUUGCGGCUUUGAUUGCCCGGACCAUUUCCGGGUCUUCUGACACAACAAUGGUGUCAUCUACAUGCACCAAAGCAAUAACAACCCCACGCUCGUCCGUCUUAACGAACAUCACCGGAUCAGACUUCGAAGGAUAAAGACCCAGCUUGGCGAACUCUGCUGAUAGCUUUUCAUACCUGCAACGGGGUGCCUGCUUCAAACCGUAAAUAGACCUCUGCAGCUUGCAUGCAAGCGACCGGUCACUGGAUUCAUACCCAGGUGGUUGCUGCAUCCACAACUCCUCCUUCAACUCGCUGUUCAAAUAUGCAGUAGACACAUCGAGCUGGUGUACCAUCAUGUUCCAUGCUGCGACAACUGCUAAUAAAGCACGUAAUGACGAACCACAUGAGGUAGGGGCAAACAACUCCCCAUAAUCAAUCCCCUCGUGUUGCUCGAAACCCUUUGCAACCAAUCGCGCCUUAAAACACUCCAUGUUACCGUCUGCAUCAUGCUUCACCUUAUAAACCCACCAACAAGGCAGCAAACAUGCACCAGGGCGCGGCUUUUUGAGCUCCCAGGUAUUGUUGGCCAUCUAACGCUCCACACUGCCGUCAUCGUUGUACAUCGUUAACCUGAUACAUUCAACGACACGGCAAUAAAUGAGUACCAGGAGGUGGCGUCUUCAGCUCCCAAGUACUGUUAGCCAUCUGGGUGGCGAUCUCCUCGUCCAUCGCACGCCGCCGAUCGUCUGCAUGUGGACUUGAAAUUGCUUCCGCAAACGAAUUCGGUUCAGGAAUGACAGCAGAAAAAGCAGCAUUAACACGACCAGUAACAGUGCGACCAGGCUCGUUUCGCCACCACUCGCCAGGGUGUUUACGCUCUCUAACUGGGUACCAGGUCCCUGCCAUUUCUACAUCAGGCUGAUUGUUACCUUGCACGUUCACACUGCUGGAAGGUCCAGCCUCAGCCGGCGCCCCCUCGCCACCCAAAUGUGGCGAUCUCUGGCCGACAGUAUUGCCUGAUGUUCCUUCACCAGCCCUAGGCAGCGACCCCUCACCAGGCAAGUUAGUGUGGACAUCCUCCUCCUCAUCGGCAUCGGACCCAUAAUCGGAGUCCCCGGCAUUACGCCGCCGGCCGACAUUAGACUCGUCAAAGUGGACACUGGAGACAACGGCGACGACGCCGUCCUCGUACAGUACACGGUACUAGGAUUCCUUGCCUGCUUACCGGAUCAAGUUUGUCUCGCUUGACGUUGGGCACGUGAACGUAUGCAGCGCAUCCAAAGACCCGCAGAUGGCUGACAUUUGGAUGAACACCAAAGAAGGCUUGAUGUGGUGUGACGGUUGACCCAGCAGUUGGCGACACGUUCCUGAGGUAGUUUGCAGUCGCCAACACUUCCGCCCACAGUGAUUUUGGGAGUCCAGACUCUAUGAGCAUUGUCCUGGCCUUGUCUAGAAGAGUGCGGUUCAAGCGUUCUGCUGCACCGUUCUGCUCAGGAGUGUAGCCCGCCGUAGUUCCGUGCAAAAUACCCCUUGACGUGAAGUAGUUUUUCGUGCGAGUAUUCACAAAUUCUCCGCCACGAUCCGUGCGCACCUCCUUUACCUGCCGACCAGAUGCCCGUUCCAGGUCCGCUAUCAUCACCACCACCUUCUGAUAUAUCUCCUCCUUGGUCGCCGUAAACGCAACAGCUGACAGACCAGUGUGGUCAUCAAGAAGGGUGGUCACAUAACGCGAACCAUUUGGUGAAGGUUCAGGCAUAGGCCCACACACAUCCAUGUGAAUGAGCGCGAGAGGCUGCACCGCCUUAUGCCCAGAUAACGGAAAAGGACCAGGUGCAUGCUUUGCAAGGAUGCAAGUCUCACACACACACGCUGGCUGAUUGUAUGCUGUGUCGGUCAACAUCGAACCCAUUUACCAUAUUGUGAUGCAGCAACGCCUCAAGGUUGCUGUAUCCCAAGUGGCCAUACCGUCGGUGCCAAAGUGCUGCAUGUUCAGCUCUGAUAUCCAUGGCAGCACACACUGCACCACCACCAGAAGGUAUCCUGUUGUCUUCACGCUGUGUCCACUUCAGAGCGCCCGUACCUCCACUGCUGUAGCAGACAGGAUACAAGUCCCCAUCCCGCUUUCCAGUCAGCACCAACUGGUUCUGUAUGUAGACGUUCACCUGUCCGCCGCUGAAGACCACACUGCCUCCACCAUCAUCAAUGAUGCGGACCGAUAGGAUUUUGGCGGUGGCCUCCUUGUCGAUGUAGACCUUCUUAAAAGUGAUGGCCUGUUUAUCGUUGACGUUAGACCGAAUCAUAAGCGUGCCAACUUCAGUCGGCCGAAGAGACUGUCCCUUGAUGCCCAUGAUGUUGAAGCUCUCCCACGGCUCCAACAACCGCACAUUGAGAAGUUCUGAGCGGUCAUACGUUAUGUAGUGAGUGGUGGCUGAGUCCAGGAACCACCCCUACGGACGCUCACCGUUGUAAGCUGUGAAUGCAACCUGCCGCGGGAAUCCUGAUCCCCUUCCAGACCCACCGGGCCCAGGCUUGCUGCCGCUAGCUCCGCUGCCACCACCACCCUUACCUUGUCCACUGCCAGAAAUGGACAACUGCUUUAGUGCCUUCAACUUCCUGCAGUCCUUAAUAUCGUGCCCGGGCUUUUGCAAUAGUGACAAAACAAAUGUUUGGGGGAACCGCCAGAACUGCUGCUGGCCGCACUGUGAUUCCUAAGACCAGAACCAGAGGCGCCAAACGUGAGACCGCCGACAGAAGCAAAAGCUGCCGACUCGGUAGGCUUACUAGACCCACCGCUUGCCACCUCGAUAGCCAAAAGCUUGGAGGUGAUGCUCGCCAUGUCCAAAUCACCGUCACGCACCAGCAGGGACGUCGUUACCACAUUGAAGUGGCUGGGUAGACCAACCAGCACUGUACGCCAGCUCCGAGUCGCUGAUAACGUGCCCCACUCCCAACAAGUCUGACUGUUAUUGCCACGCACGUGCAAAGUACUCGCCGUCGACCAUCUUGAAAUGGCUGAACUCUUGACGGAGAGCUACCUUGCAUGCGUUAUUGUUGGUGACAAACAUCGCGGCCAAAGCGUCCCAUGCCCUCUUCAUGUUUGCAGCACCUGUAACCAUCGGCAAAUGGUGAUCUUUAACAUUCUUGAUGAGCAGGUUGAUAACCUUACGAGAUUGUCGAAUCUGCUCCUCGUUUCCCGGCUCGGCAAGCAAGGACUGCUCAAGCCCAAGCUCCAUACACAGCUUGCUGAACCAAAUUUGCCGGGUGGUGUAGUUGUUCAAGUCCAGAGGCUCGUCAAGCUUGUCCUUCCCCAUUGUGGAAUACGAGUUUUAGAGAUAGUUGCUGCUAGCGUGAGGCGGGGCUCAUAACCUGUUAAGAGUAUGAAGGCAAGUAGACUGGUCUCGAUAUAAGGGUUACAGUCUGUGGGUUAAUGGUGAACAGCAAGAAGACUUAGGGUUUACGGUUUAAGGAAUACCGAUCCAUACAAAGAUGAGAUACUAAGACUUGCACAACUCGUUUCUUAUAUACCAGUACCAAUGGAAGUAUCAUACAGAUGUCCACCAUCCCUGGACCUGAGGACACGUCCGAGAUACACGGCCGACAGACCCGAGGCAAGGUCGAGGUACGGCUGAGGCAAGGUCAAGGUACAGCCGAGGCAAGGUCAAGGUACAGCCGAGGCAAGGUCGAGGUAAGCCGAGGCAAGGUCGAGGCACGUCUGAGGCACAUUCAUCGCCUAACUACCACCUAUCUACGUUGGGAUAGGACCGCCCUUCAACAGCCAACACCCCCAAAACGUAAUCCUAGUUCGCAAGUACCCGCCAGGUAACGCAGAACACCAAUUGCUAAGUUCACAGCACUCUUCGUGGGUGCGGCCAUAUGCCGGGACAAAACACUCAAUGCAUACGAAAUGUCAGGCCGCGUGUUUGUCACUAGGUAAUUCAACUCUCCCUAUACUCCGUGGGAUUGUCCAGCAGCUCUUCUCCAUCCCCCGUAGGAGUGUACCUAAAGCCCGGAGGCAAAGGGGUAGACCUCGGCUUGGCGUCAACCAACUUAUGACGCUCCAAUAGCUGCGCAAUAUACCUAUGCUGUGACAACACUAUCUCACCCGAAUUCUCCCUCCUAAUUUCCAUGUCCCCAAACACCUUCGCUUCUCUAAGGUCACGCACCCUUAAGACCUUCACAAUUGCGGCUUUAAUUGCCCGGACCAUUUCCGGGUCUUCCGAUGCAACAAUAGUAUCAUCUACGUGCACCAAGGCAAGAACAACCCCACACUCGUCCGUCUUAACGAACAUCGCCGGAUCAGACUUAGAAGGAUAAAGACCCAGCUUGGCAAACUCUGCUGAUAGUUUCUCACACCAGCAACGGGGUGCCUGCUUCAAACCGUAAAUAGACCUCUGCAGCUUGCAUGCAAGCGACCGGUCACUGGAUGCAUAACCAGGCGGUUGCUCCAUCCACAACUCCUUCAGCUCACCGUUCAAAAACGCAGUAGACACAUCGAGCUGGUGCACCGUCAUGUUCCGUGCUGCGGCAACUGCUAAUAAAGCACGUAAAGAUGAACCAUGAGAGGUAGGGGCAAACAACUCCCCAUAAUCAAUCCCCUCGCGUUGUUCGAAACCCUUUGCAACUAAACGCACCUUAAAGCGCUCCACAUUACCGUCUGCAUCAUGCUUCAACUUAUACACCCACCGACAAUGCAGUAAACGUGUACCAGGCGGCGCCUUCUUGAGCUCCCAGGUAUGGUUGGCCAUCUGAGCGGCGAUCUCCUUAUCCGUCGCACACCGCCAGUCGUCUGCAUGUGGAUCUGAAAUGGCCUCCGCAAACGAAUUAGGUUCAGGAAUACCAACAGAGAAAGCAGCAUUAAUGCAACCAGUGACAGUGCGACCAGGUUUGUUUCACCGCCAUUCGCCAGGGCGUUUAUGUUCUCCAACUGGAUACCUAGUUCCUGCCAUUUCCACAUCAGGCUGGUUAAUUCCUUGCCCAUUCACACUGCUGGAAGGUCCAGCCCCAGCCGGCGCCCCCUCGCCACCCAAAUGCGGUGAUCCCUUGCUGACGGUGCUACCUGGUGUCCCUUCACCAGCCCUAGGCAGUGAUCCCUCACCAGGUAAACUAGUGUGAAAAUCCUCCUCCUCGUCGGCAUCAGACUCAUAAUUGGAGUCCCCGGCAUUACACCGCCAGCCGACAUUAGACUCAUCAAAGUGAACGUUAGAAACUACGGCAAUAAUGCCGUCCUUGUACAGCACACGGUACUGUCCUCCGUUCCCGUAUCCAACAAGUAUUUCACGCCUGCUCACCAGAUCAAACUUGUCGCAUUUGAUGUCAGGUACGUGGAUGUAGGUGACGCACCCAAAAACUCGAAGGUGACUGAUGUUAGGACGGAAGUUGAAGAUAGCUUCAUACGGUGUGACAGUUGACCCAGCAGUUGGCGACACAUUCCUGUGGUAAUUGGCUGUCACCAAAGCUUCCGCCCAUAAUGAUUUAGGUAGUCCGGACUCGACAAGCAUAGCCUUAGUUUUGUCUAGGAGAGUGCGAUUCAAACGUUCUGCAGCUCUGCUCUGCUCAGGGGUGUAGCCUACCAUAGUUCCGUGUACAAUACCCCUGGACGCGAAAUAGCCCUUCGUGCGAGUAUUAAUGAACUCCCCGCCACGAUCCGUACGCACCUCCUUAACCUGCCUGCUAGAAGCGCGCUCCAGUUCCGCUAUCAUUACCACCAUCUUCUGAUAGACCUCCUCCUUGGUCGCUGUAAACACAACAACUGAAAGACCGGUAUGAUCAUCAAGCAGAGUUGUCGAUGAUACGGACGGACAAAAUCUUUACCAUCGGCUCCUCGUCAAUGUAGACCCUCUUGAAUGUGAUGGCUUGAUUGUUGUUGACAUUAGAUCGAAUGGUAAGUGAUCCAACCUCCGUCGGAUGCAGUGACUGACCCUUAAUGCCCACAAUGCUAAAGUGUUCCCAAGGCUCCAACACACAUACAUUGAAUAGUUCGGAUCGGUCGUAAGUGACGUGGUGAGUAGAUGCUGAGUCCAGAAACCAUUCCGUCGGACGCUCGCUGUUGUAUGCCAAGAACACUACUUGUCGCGGAACACCUGGCCCCCUAGCUGAUCCACCGGAUCCUGGCUUGCUGCCGCUAGCUCCGCUGCCACUGUUGAUGUUGUUACAGGGUGGUUAAGCUUCACCAGUGGCCUCCUUCCCGAGGCAAUUCCCUGCUCUCCCCUGCUAGAGGGGCACCCUAAGCCAUUCACCCCAUCCGACUUCAGAGUGUACUCUUUGAGUUUGGCAACUCACCACCAGCAUCCAACCAAAUCUAGCAGAUCAACGGCGCGUCAACUUAGUUCCUGGUCAGCUCGCGAGUUGAUUUUAUCACGUCCUACACCGUCCACAAGAUGGGGGGCCACCUCCCAUUUCAUCACCUCUCAAACACCCCGAGAGGUUGGCAGGCACAUUUGAACCCGGACGCGCCGGGACGCGACGGGAGCAGAAGCCAGGCCUUAACCUCUGCCAGCCGCCUGCCUUGUUGUUGUUGCCACCCUUAUAUCCAGAAAUGGACGACUGCUUGAGUGCUUUAAGCCCUAUGGCAUAAACAUGCCGGUUACCGACCGUUUGGGGCCCAUUAACCCAACCGGCCGGUUGAAUGGCGU